AAGUGUUUUUGCAGAGAGAAGAGCUCUGUGGUGUCCUCUCAGUGACGGUUGGAGAGGAAACUAAAGGAGCUGAACAUCACCCUGGAUGAGGAGAGACAGCAGCACACAGAGCAGAGAGACCAGCUGACUCUGCGUGUGAAGGCUCUGAAGAGGCAGGUGGAUGAAGGAGAGGCAGAAGCAGAGCGGCUGGAGGGAUUGACACAAAGUGCCCAGUGUGGUUAGAUAUUACAAAAUCCCAUGAUAGAAUAGAUUAUCUUGCGAGAUAUCCCAUUCUUCCGGAACAUUGAGCAACCACGAGGAGAGGAGAGGACUCAAAGAGGACUCGAGGAUGGAGAUGUAUCGAUAUAUAUUAUAUAAAAUCUACUGCUGGAUGCUGUGAAGAGGUGGACACUCAAGUGGAUGCAGCGAUGGCAGAACACCCGAAGCUCGCUCCAGGAACAGCUGGGGGUGGAGGUUACAAGAUAUGAGCCAAACAACUGUAAUGUUUUUAAGGGAUAGUUCACCCAAAAAAGAAAAUAGUUAUACAUUUUCUUACCCACAUGUUUCAAACCUGUAAAACUUUCUAUGUUCUGCUGAACACAAAGAUAUUUGGAAGAAUGUUUGAAACCAAGCGGAUCUCGCCUCCCAUUAACUAUCAUAGUAAUUUUUCCUACAAUGGCAGUUAAUGGAUUGUGAGAUCUAGCAAUGAUUUCGAACAUAUUUUAUGAUUAGGGUCUUCUAUGAUUUUCUAGUCACAUGACAACAAUGUCUUCUGCAAAAUGGUUAUUCCACAUUCAGAUAUUAAUAUUAAUAUUAUUUAUAUGAUUAAAGUAUUUAAAAAUAAAUGCAAUUAAAUAAUAUUGAUUUAUAUUAUUAUAUAUUAAAAACAUUAAUAAACAAAUACUGCGAAAAUAGAAAUGUUUGACAAUAAUUAUUUCAGAAAAGUAUUUCAGCACUUUUUAUUCAGUGAUGACCGUCAUUAAAUCAUAUUUCUGAUGAAAAUGGUAGGCCUGUAAACUUACUUCAGAAAUCCAAAUGGAUACAAAGAUUACAUUGAAAAACUCUUUUUUUUUAAAAUAGAUUUUUAUCAUCUUGAAGAUACUUAUUUGUCAUUGUCCCAGUAAAGAAAACGUGAAAACAGUAUCAGCAGGACAUAGAAAGGUAUACAGUUUUGAAGCAUGAGGGUGAGUAAAUGACAGAGUUUUUGGGUAAAUUAUCCCUUUAUAUAAUAAUUCCGUAUUUUGUAAUUGGUAUUUUAGUUUGGUUAACAGAUGCUAAACUACGGAAGUUUUAAGCGGCCAUGCAUUAUAAUUUUUUUCCUUCUUGUUUUCUCGUUUAAACGACUUAAUUUUCUCAAUAUAAUGAAAGUCGUUUUCUUUUAUAACGACUUAAUUUGCUCCUUAUCCCGACAUAAUGAAAGUCGUUUUCUCGUAAUAACGACUUCGUUUUCUCUAAGAAUUUACAAAACUGCGCUAGCAGGUGACACUAUAGACCACUUUACUGUACGCGGACCUUCCUUGUGAUCGCUAUAAUUUGUGCAGUAUUG